rnacentral:rRNA from 1 species
GACGGAGAGUGCAAACGUUGUUCGGAUUUACUGGGCGUAGAGGGCACGUAGGCGGCCAGGCAAAUCAGUUGUGGAAUCCCGACGCCUACCGUCGGAACGGCAAUUGAAAAUACCUGGCUCGAGGGCAUGAGGGGUCGCGGGAACUCUUGGUGGAGCGGUGAAAUGCGUAGAUAUCAAGAGGAACGCCGGAGGCGAAAGCGCGCGACUGGCAUGACCCUGACGCUGAGGUGCGAAAGCCGGGGGAGCAAACAGGAUUAGAUACCCUGGUAGUCCCGGCUGUAAACGAUGGACACUGAAUGGAGGAGGGUUCACCUUUCUCUGUUGCAGCUAACGCGUUAAGUGUCCCGCCUGGGGAGUACGGCCGCAAGGUUAAA